AGCGGCAGACGGGUGAGUAACGCGUGGGAAUCUACCUUAAGCUACGGGAUAACAGAGAGAAAUUUCUGCUAAUACCGUAUGUGGCCUAUGGGCGAAAGAUUUAUCGGCUUAAGAUGAGCCCGCGUUGGAUUAGCUAGUUGGUGGGGUAAAGGCCUACCAAGGCGACGAUCCAUAGCUGGUCNGAGAGGNUGAUCAGCCACACUGGGACUGAGACACGGCCCAGACUCCUACGGGAGGCAGCAGUGGGGAAUAUUGGACAAUGGGCGGAAGCCUGAUCCAGCCAUGCCGCGUGAGUGAAGAAGGCCUUAGGGUUGUAAAGCUCUUUCACCGGUGAAGAUAAUGACGGUAACCGGAGAAGAAGCCCCGGCUAACUUCGUGCCAGCAGCCGCGGUAAUACGAAGGGGGCUAGCGUUGUUCGGAUUUACUGGGCGUAAAGCGCGCGUAGGCGGAUAGAUAAGUCAGAGGUGAAAUCCCGGGGCUCAACCCCGGAAUUGCCUUUGAUACUGUUUAUCUUGAGUGCAGAAGAGGUAAGUGGAAUUCCGAGUGUAGAGGUGAAAUUCGUAGAUAUUCGGAGGAACACCAGUGGCGAAGGCGGCUUACUGGUCUGCAACUGACGCUGAGGCGCGAAAGCGUG
rnacentral:rRNA from 2 species